AAUAUGUUACCAAAGAGGCAUUGCCACCACUUGUAGCUGGCCCAGCCUUGGCCAGCAGCACAUCCAACUUUGGAGCUGCAGAGAAUUGGCUCUGCCAGACAUGAAGGAAGCUUCUGGCAGCUUCUCACAGAAACCACUGCUGUAGCCCCUCUGCUGCCAAAGCCUGGCCAUUCAAACCCAAUAACCACACCAGAUAUUAGGCCCCUGGGAUCUGCUGGUCCGUGGAUAACCAGUCCAUACCACAGCUUGAGCAAGGAAGCGAUAAAACUAAGAGCACAUUAACUAGAAAAAGCAUGAUGACAAAUCAGAGACCUAAAAGGAACAUCUGAAAUGGUACAGUCCAGGGAAAGGCUGGAGAGACUGAAGAGGUGAGCAGGUAUCCAUACUAACCAGUGAAAGGCAGCACAUUUCCAGCUGGUUCAAGGUAUCCACACGCCUCUCCAGAUUACCAGCCUGUGAGUGCUGUUGGCUUGCUCUUUCUUACAAAGUUUCUUACACAGCCUUUCUUACAAAGUUUCCCUCCCACUGUUGCGGGUGAUCAGCAUGGGGAGUUCUUUGUCAAAGAAUGUGCCCUCUGGGAAAACUCCACACUCUGGCAUUGAAGAGAAGGCUGGGCAUGACUUGGUUAUGACCAUUCAAUGUUUGUACAGAGUGCUGCCUAGAGCAUGGUGCCUGCAUGUACUGUGUGUACCAUCCAAUAUAAUUCAAAAGACUCCCAUCACAGUGAAGGUAGCAUCAGAGGGAGCUCCUUUGCUAAGCCUGACUGCAGCACAACCCAUGGAUAGAGAGCUGUUGCCUGUGUCCUGGGACCUCCUGAGCCUGUCUCCUGAGAGAUUCGUGACUGAACACAAUAUCAUUGAAUACCCAAGCCUUCUAACAUGAGAAGUGCUUGAGAGAGGUGCCAAAAACAGCAGAAAUGAAGUUAGAGUGGAUAUUUGGGAGACAGGAGUUCCCAGCUACAAGCUCCAGUUGCUGCUUUAGUAUGCCUCUAGAUGAACAGUCUCCAGACUCAAUGCCCCUGCUCAGGCUCCAGGCUGUCAGGUGAGAAAUGGCUGCCCCAGGAGUUGAGUUAUUGGGUUAGGGUUGCAUUGAUGGUAUUUUAGU
rnacentral:lncRNA from 1 species